UCUUAGCCAGGUAAAUCACCAGGUUAACUUUAGAGGACACCAUCACUGGAUCAAAACCUGGUCAUUACAACAGCUCCUUUGAUGGAUCAUAUUUCAAGGAGAACCUGCUUCUGUCUGAGGAAGAACAAAGCAUUUCUUUAGCUCUGUCAAUGAUGGAACUUCAAGAAAAAACAGACGAUUUAGAUCGUUAUUGUGUAGCAUUUAUUUCACACAUUGUAGAAACACUUUUAGAGAUCUCCAACUGCUUGGAAACCAAGGGGUUUACAUUAACAGGCUGGGGUAUAAGGUGUACAACAGUGUUGUAUCUGAUAAUUCAGGAGCACAGUGCUUUCCUUGUCUUCAUUUAAUGUUGAUAAAUUCUAUUAUUUUGCCCGGCCAGUCAUUGUGACAGUCAGAGUUGUUGAGUUAAACAAAAUGGGUCGUUCUCAUUGAGAACCAAAGAAUCACAUAAUCAUGUUUCCGAGCUCAUAGAGAAUGGGGAAAUUACAAAGUGCUGACUGAAUGAAAAGCGACUGUUUAACAAAUUAUCCUGCUUUCAUUGCAUAGCUGGGUUUCCCCCUGACUUUUUCAUGGUCUUUUGGAAAGUAUUGUACCCUUGGAGCUCUGUGUUAGAAAGAAGAUUGUAAAGAUGUUUUUUAUGUCAGAUUAUUUGAAGCUUCCCUUAUUCAUGUUUUCAUAUGAGGAAAUGUAUGAGAUGGAUGCACAGGUUUAAUGUUCUGCAACUGCACGUAGAUUUUCUAGGUCACUGAAUGUGAUUUGUAUUGUUCACAGUGAGGUUGGAGCAUCAUGCGACCUAGAUUACCUGACUACACCUCCACUCCUCUGCGGACUCACCUUAAGAAGUUUGACCUUGAAAAAGAGCUCCACACAAUGGAGGAUGGAUCUUCUUCUGGGCUCUCCUCAUCAAUGAAUAUCCCUUGUGUUUCUUUGAGUCUGUAGAGGUAAGCAUUGUCUUCAUUAUUUCUAUAUUACAGUUGUAAAGAACUGAAAAUGGCCUGCAGGUCAUGAAACGUUAGACCAACCCAACCUCAGAAAUGGUCAAAAACUGUUGUAGUAUAGUAUGGCGUCAAAAAUGGUGAAAAAAGUCAUAGUAUAGUAUGGCGUCAAAAAUGGUGAAAAAAAGUCAUAGUAUAGUAAGGGUUCAAAAACGGUCAAAAAAUGUCAUAGUAUAGUAUGGCGUCAAAAAAUGGUCAAAAAUUGUCAUAGUAUAGUAUGGCGUCAAAAAUGUGGUAAAAAUGUCAUACUAAGGUAUGUCGUCAAAAAUGUGGUAAAAAUGUCAUACUAAGGUAUGUCGUCAAAAAUGUGAUAAAAAUGUCAUACUAAGGUAUGUCGUCAAAAAUGUGAUAAAAAUGUCAUACUAAGGUAUGUCGUCAAAAAUGUGGUAAAAAUGUCAUACUAAGGUAUGUUGUCAAAAAUGUGAUAAAAAUGUCAUACUAAGGUAUGUCGUCAAAAAUGUGGUAAAAAUGUCAUACUAAGGUAUGUCGUCAAAAAUGUGGUAAAAAUGUCAUACUAAGGUAUGUCGUCAAAAAUGUGGUAAAAAUGUCAUACUAAGGUAUGUCGUCAAAAAUGUGGUAAAAAUGUCAUACUAAGGUAUGUCGUCAAAAAUGUGGUAAAAAUGUCAUACUAAGGUAUGUCGUCAAAAAUGUGGUAAAAAUGUCAUACUAAGGUAUGUCGUCAAAAAUGUGGUAAAAAUGUCAUAGUAUAGUAUGUCGUCAAAAAUGUGGUAAAAAUGUCAUAGUAUAGUAUGUCGUCAAAAAUGUGAUAAAAAUGUCAUAGUAUAGUAUGUCGUCAAAAAUGUGAUAAAAAUGUCAUACUAAGGUAUGUCGUCAAAAAUGUGGUAAAAAUGUCAUACUAAGGUAUGUCGUCAAAAAUGUGGUAAAAAUGUCAUACUAAGGUAUGUCGUCAAAAAUGUGAUAAAAAUGUCAUAGUAUAGUAUGUCGUCAAAAAUGUGGUAAAAAUGUCAUACUAAGGUAUGUCGUCAAAAAUGUGAUAAAAAUGUCAUACUAAGGUAUGUCGUCAAAAAUGUGGUAAAAAUGUCAUACUAAGGUAUGUCGUCAAAAAUGUGAUAAAAAU